GAUGAACGCUGGCGGCGUGCUUAACACAUGCAAGUCGAGCGAAGCACUUAAGUUCGAUUCUUCGGAUGAAGACUUUUGUGACUGAGCGGCGGACGGGUGAGUAACGCGUGGGUAACCUGCCUCAUACAGGGGGAUAACAGUUAGAAAUGGCUGCUAAUACCGCAUAAGACCACAGUACUGCAUGGUACAGUGGUAAAAACUCCGGUGGUAUGAGAUGGACCCGCGUCUGAUUAGGUAGUUGGUGAGGUAACGGCCCACCAAGCCGACGAUCAGUAGCCGACCUGAGAGGGUGACCGGCCACAUUGGGACUGAGACACGGCCCAGACUCCUACGGGAGGCAGCAGUGGGGAAUAUUGCACAAUGGGCGAAAGCCUGAUGCAGCGACGCCGCGUGAAGGAUGAAGUAUUUCGGUAUGUAAACUUCUAUCAGCAGGGAAGAAAAUGACGGUACCUGACUAAGAAGCCCCGGCUAACUACGUGCCAGCCGCCGCCGUAA
rnacentral:rRNA from 1 species